GAUGAACGCUAGCUACAGGCUUAACACAUGCAAGUCGAGGGGUCUUUCUGGAGGCUUGCUUUAGUAAAGACGACCGGCGCACGGGUGAGUAACGCGUAUCCAACCUGCCCUUCCAUAUUGGGAUAGCCUUCCGAAAGGGAGAUUAAUACCGAAUAACAUGAGAAAGUUGCCUGAUUUUCUCAUGAAAGCUCCGGCGAUGAAGGAUGGGGAUGCGUUCCAUUAGGUAGUAGGCGGGGUAACGGCCCACCUAGCCCACGAUGGAUAGGGGUUCUGAGAGGAAGGUCCCCCACACUGGAACUGAGACACGGUCCAGACUCCUACGGGAGGCAGCAGUGAGGAAUAUUGGUCAAUGGGCGCAAGCCUGAACCAGCCAAGUAGCGUGAAGGAUGACUGCCCUAUGGGGUUGUAAACUUCUUUUAUACGGGAACAAAUGUUGGUACGCGUACCGAUUUGCGUGUACCGUAUGAAUAAGCAUCGGCUAACUCCGUG
rnacentral:rRNA from 1 species